CUGACGCUGAGAGACGAAAGCUAAAGGAGUGAUUAGGAUUAGAUACCCUAGUAAUUUUAGCCGUAAACGAUGGAAACUCACUGCCGAGCCGGUAUUCGGAGCGGUGGUCAAGCUAACGCGUGAAGUUUCCCGCCUGGGGAUUACGCAUGCAAAUGUGAAACUCAAAGGAAUUGACGGGGACCCGCACAAGCGGUGGAGUAUGUGGUUUAAUUCGAUGCAACGCGAAAAACCUUACCAAGGUUUGAAAUCAUUUCAAAACUCCUUGAAAGAGGAGCCUCCUUCGGGAUGGAAUGACAGGUGGUGCAUGGCUGUCGUCAGCUCGUGUUGUGAAAUGUCAAGUUAAGUCUUGUAACGAGCGCAACCCAUGUCUUUUGUUGCUGUUUUACAGUGCUUAAAAGAGACUGCCGCUAUACAGCGGAGGAAGGUGUGGAUGAUGUCAAGUCAGCAUGCCCCUUAUAUCUUGGGCUACACACGUACUACAAUGGUAGGGACAAAGAGUCGCAAACCUGCGAAGGCUAGCCAAUCUCAUAAACCCUAUCUCAGUUCGGAUUGUACUCUGCAACUCGAGUACAUGAAGGUGGAAUCGCUAGUAAUCGCUGGUCAGCAUACAGCGGUGAAUACGUUCCCGGGUCUUGUACACACUGCCCGUCACACCAUGGAAGUCGAUCCUUCCCUAAGUCGUUACUCGAACCUUUAUGGACGAGGAUGCCGAAGGCAGGGUUGGUGACUGGGGUGAAGUCGUAACAAGGUAACC
rnacentral:rRNA from 1 species